rnacentral:rRNA from 1 species
AGAGUUUGAUCCUGGCUCAGGAUGAACGCUGACAGAAUGCUUAACACAUGCAAGUCGAUGGGGAAGCGGCGCUUGCGCCGUGGCAACCAUGGCGGACGGGUGAGUAGCGCGUAAAGAACUUGCCGGAUGGACCGGGAUAACAGCUGGAAACGGCUGGCAAGACCGGAUACUGUGGGCUGGCCGCAUGGCUGGCCCAUGAAAAGGGAUGCCGUCCGAGAGCUUUGCGUCCUAUUAGCUGGUUGGUAAGGUGACGGCUUACCAAGGCGAUGAUAGGUAGCCGGCCUGAGAGGGUGGACGGCCACAAGGGGACUGAGAUACGGCCCUUACUCCUACGGGAGGCAGCAGUGGGGAAUAUUGGACAAUGGGGGCAACCCUGAUCCAGCAAUUCUGUGUGCACGAAGAAGGUUUUCGGAUUGUAAAGUGCUUUCAGCAGGGAAGAAGAAAGUGACGGUACCUGCAGAAGAAGCGACGGCUAAAUACGUGCCAGCAGCCGCGGUAAUACGUAUGUCGCGAGCGUUAUCCGGAAUUAUUGGGCAUAAAGGGCAUCUAGGCGGCCGGGUAAGUCCGGGGUGAAAACUGCUGGCUCAACCAGCAGCCUGCCUUGGAAACUACCCGGCUUGAGUGCUGGAGAGGUGGACGGAACUGCACGAGUAGAGGUGAAAUUCGUAGAUAUGUGCAGGAAUGCCGAUGAUGAAGAUAGUUCACUGGACGGCAACUGACGCUGAAGUGCGAAAGCUAGGGGAGCAAACAGGAUUAGAUACCCUGGUAGUCCUAGCUGUAAACGAUGAUUACUGGGUGUGGGCAUGAAGAGUGUCCGUGCCGAAGCUAAUGCGAUAAGUAAUCCGCCUGGGGAGUACGGCCGCAAGGCUGAAACUCAAAGGAAUUGACGGGGACCCGCACAAGCGGUGGAGCAUGU